rnacentral:misc_RNA from 1 species
CUUUCUUCCUCAUUAUUCACUGAUCUUCCUCCAUCACCUAUGGCAAAUGUUCUAUUUCCAUAACCCCUCCAAAUUAAAAUUCUCCCAGUCACAUCUCCUGCAGCAAGAAUUCUCUGAGUUGGGUGGAAUGCAGUAACUGUCAUAUUUUUUGUAUGACGCAGUGUGAUCUUCUUAGCCAUUGUACGAUCGGAAUCUGCACUGGGGACUUUCCAUAUAUGAAGCUUGCGCUUGAUCCGGAUGCCAAUAUAUUUUCCACAGGAGCUAAUAGUUAUCAAUUCUGGUUGCUUUGUCUCUGCCAAAGUUACUCCACCAACCAGACGUGAGUCCG